GGCUGAGGCGGUGCCAGCGCCCGGGGCGCCGGGCUGCCGGAGCGGGCUCUGUGAGCUGAAAGGCACCAGAGGAUUUUCUGGGACAGGAUAAUAGACAGAGUGAGGACACUGUCACCUUGGUGUGAGGAAAGCUGGCUAAGCAGAAUCCAGUGACUCUGGGAGCACUUGUUGAGCUUGAUGCUCAUGCUGAGGAUGUUCCUGCAUCUCUGGAGUGUCUCAGCAGUCAUGCAGUUGUUUCCAACAGGAUUGUGCCAAAAAAAAGCAAAAAACUGCAAUGAGCAGAACAAUUUAAUGAUGGCCCUGAGGGUGAGAAAACUCUCUGGCUGAGCUGGAAAUGCAGGACAUCAACUUCACUGGAAUACACUUAUUCCAUCAGGAAUUUUAGCUUACCUAGCAGCCUUUACAUCCAGCUACAGAAAUAUGAAGAAACAGAACCUGAAUCCCAGCUGCCAGUGUGGAUUACACCAGUCAUCCCCAGGGAAUGUUUGGUGAGACCCUUUUUGAUGAUUUUAUCUAGGCAAGAAGCACUCCAGUAGAGUCCAGCAGCAACUGAAGAAAGCCACGAGACCAGCAAAGGCAGAGGUAGGCAGCCCCCAGAAAAUUCUCUGUUAAUUAAUAGUUCACAUAGCCCUCUUUGGCUUGGGCUACCUUCACUUGAAAAAAAAUUUACAUUUUGUCCCACAGUCAUCUUUGUGUCAGUAUUUUGUGCAUAAAUUGUAUGUACAUCCAUUUAACUGAUGAGGAACCAUAACUUUGAAAGGACUUAAUGCUAAUAAUAACUCAGCAAUAAUUACAGUAAUAAUAUUAAAAAUUAUCCGUUUGUUGUUAACUGAAUGGAAGAAAACAGAAAUAGAUUGAAACACAAGACUGAAAAGGAAACACAGCUCAAAUGGCAUAGCUUGCUCUCAUUCUUGAUCUUCUGUCAAAAGCUUUACACUUUUUAAUGAUGAUAGAUUACAAUUAGGUCUGAGAACGAUCACCAUGCCUGAAAUACAGGAAUGAUUCUCUUGAGUAGCUCUCUGCCAAGGGCUUGGUGACCUAGGUAAUUGGGAAAAAGCUAUAGAGAUUUUCCACAUCUUUGUUUCUACUUUGAAAAAAGAAUUUGAAGUAGUUUCUGCAAAUUCUUACACUGCAUUUCAAACCACCUGAAUGGACCUCACCUUAUUUUGUCUGAGGUGCUCACGGUAGUCAGAAAAAUAAUUAAUUAUCCUUCCAUCUUACUCUUCAUAUCUGACCAUAACCACUUCCAUGUCCAGGUAACACUUUUGCCAGUUAGAUUUUCAUCAUUUAAAUUAACAGUAAGAAAAAUUAUCACCAAUAUUCAGUGAAAUGACCCAGGAAUUCUUAGACUCUCAGAAAAAAAAAAAAGAUUGUGUAUUUUUUUCAUUGUAAAUAUCCAGGCUUUAGAAAUACUUUUUAAUUAAAGAAAUAGCAUAAAGUACGCAGAGAGGGUAAGAAUGGAUUUUUGGUUGGAAAUGCUAAUAAAUGAGUAUAAGAGACAUUAAAGGAACUAAACACUUAACCACAUUGCAGGAAAUAGCCUGAUUUUCAUUCUUGGCCUUUCUUUGGGCAUAAAAAUAAAUACAGCAAGUUGAAGACUUUAGUCCUUUGGGAAAUGAUCACCUGGAAAAUGAACAGAGAAAUGAUGACAUUGGAAAAAGAGACUGAGGGGGAGCUACUUCAUUAUGCAGGGUUAUAGCUGUCCCCACUCUGGAAGCUGCAAUCACAACAUAACAGCCGGGUUGGGCAUAGGCUAUUUGCAAACCAAGCAACACUAAUGCUUGACACUAAUUUUCUCAUUCUUGUUUUUCUGCCUUCAGCUGCAGCCUAGCUCAUAGUUACCUAGUAAUACAAUGUGAUUGUCAUUGAUGGCAUGUUAUCAUUGUAACCUUAAAGACUGGCACUAGAAUAGAGCUCUAACAAAGAGGGAGCUAAAAUGGAUGCUCUCUCUCCCACUCCCCCCCCCCCCCCCAUAAUUUCUUCACUUUCUAGUGAAGAACUUAAAAAUUACUCCACAUCUUCCAAAGAUAGUAAUCCUGUGCUGUACAAGAAGCUUCUUAGAGUAACAUGUAUUUAAAUGGGUUUUUUUAAAAAAGCUUUAAGCAUGUCAACCUCAUUUCUGUAACUUAAGAAAAAAUACUUCAUGGAUUGAUGUAUUCAGUUAAGGGAUAACUUACUCUCAAGAUAGGGAAUUCAUAAAUGCUUUGAAGAAUGUUGAAAUAUGUUUUUAGGAUCCCCAGCAUGAAGAUUUUCUUGCAGAGUGGAAAGACAAGUCAAAAGUUUCAAAAGCUGCUGUUCGUUCACUGCCUGAGACCUGACAAUGUAAUGUACAAAACUUUCACCUUACUGAGAAAGGUCUGUCUGCAUCUUAAAAACCAAAAAUAUUUGCAAGUAUGCAUGCACUUGUAUUCUACAACAAUCUCUCAUAGAGGAAAAUAGAAAUUAAUAAGAUUUUUUAAAGAACUUCAGGAAGUUUGAAAUUGUAAUGAAAAACUUUUAAAAACAGAAUAGUGGGACUUUAGCUUUUGUUGAUUCAGUUGCACACCAAAAUCUCCAGAGCUCUUUCUUGAAACUGUCUUACACACCUUGUGUCUACCCUUAUUCAGUACACCUGCUAUUUGUGCUGGAUGUGGUUGUCUGUGUCAGUUUGGUUUGAUCUAGAAAAACAACUUAGUGGUAAGCAGGAGAGUAGUAAGGCAGGUACUUAAGCAAUUGUUGCAGACACAGAGAUCCAUUUAGUUCCCUGGAAAGUGUUUUGAAGCAGAGCUGUUGUGAUUUGAGUCUAGGCAUAAGGUUUUAACACAGAUCACAGAAAGUACUCACAGUUGUGAAUCUUUAUUCAAAAACAAAAAGUCAGCUUGCUAAAAACCAGAAUAGAAGUAUUUGCUUAGACAUUUUCCAUACACUGUCAGGGUAGUGGAACUGCUCUUAGCUCCCGUCCUAGCCAUACCAAGAAAGCACACUGUGAGAGACAGGCCAUACCUGUCUGUACUCACUCCUCCCAGUCAGGAACACUUCUCUACAUCAUACACUCCCUCACACACCUGUUCAGCUUUGCAAUCACACUCAGACAGAGAGAGGAAAUCAAGAGUCACUUUUAGAGCCAGAGUCACAGCUCACUUGUGCGGGGCUGCUUUUGGCGGCAGCAGAUUCUCCAGGCUGCUGGGCUGAAGGCUCAUCCCCGAGAGGCAGCGGUGCCGGGAGCGAGGGUCUGGAGCCAAAGUAAUUCACCAGCCUCUGCCUCGUCGCUGCCACCUCUUCUUGAAAAGAGCUUAUGGCGCGGCUGCCAACUUUGCACUUGAAUCAAAGCAAGACAUUGAGCCUUUCAGCGGAGCAGUUUGACUGUGUCGUUCCGCCACGUUCCAACCCUCCCUCCUCAGGCUGCAUUCGGGUAUCAGUGUUUCAUGAUAGCAAUCGUACCCCGGUCAGCCUGGUGCACAGCCCUCCCAGCUAUCAGUGACAGUAUCCUUGGGGCUAAGUGUCCUCACCUGAGGCUGCUGCUUCUAAUUUUUUAUAUGCUUUAUCUAGAAAUAUGUUCAUAUUAUGGCCAAGACCCCUCUUGUAUCUUGAGACAUUGCUCUAAAUCAUUCACAGUUCAAGUUAGGUAACACCACUCUUAGUCCACCUUCUAAGAUAUCAUUGUGCCCCAUUAUCCUAUUUUUUUGUACUUUAAUCUGUUGCACAGUGACCUUAAAUGCUUAACCUUGACAGUCACCAGGUAUAUAUGUAAUACAGAACAUUAUUAGCAAGGCAGAGAUCUUAUUUGUGCAAACCCACCAACAAGUAAUAUGCAGAAUCUUUUACUGUUCCUCAUCAGGGAGCUUGGUUCACAUAAUUCUUACUAUCCAUAGGAUUAGGGCUCAUAGAUCAGCUGAUCUUGAUCAACUGAGCUGCUCAGUUGUGUGCUUUUCUACAUGUCAACACUAUGGGAUGAAACUCCCCAGAAGUGGGGAGGAGUAAAAUAUUUGAAAUGAGCUUAACAUUUUAAUUAGGCAGAUUUAUAUGUAAAACUGGAUAUGUGAAGCAAUAAUCUGGUCAAAUUUUGUCUUUUCACAUAUGUUGUUCAUCCCUCCUGUGAAUGAUAAAGCUGCUCAUUGUUGAAUUUUGUGCAUUGAUUAUUGCACCCUAUGUAUUUUUUCUUUGCUGUAAUGAGUUGUUGGAAAAACACUUCUAAAGGAAGCAGGUUUGCAUUCAAAAACCAGACAAUAACUUAAACUGAGAAGUGCUUAGGUGCAGAUUUCUUAGCUAAUAAUGCAUAUAAAUCAAUACUUCAUGUUCUAGCCUUAGACAAUCAUUCCUGGCUGAUGCUUGGAAAUCUUAGUAAAAGAAGUUGUUUAUAGUCUAGCUUAGAAUUCCAGAUGACAGUGGCUAACACUUACAAUGAAGGUCCUCAGCCGUGCCAUCUCCAGCAUGUAGUACUCCUCCAUUGUCAGCUCAUCAAAGUGCUUGGGAAGGGAUAAAAAGUCACAGGUGUGACGUUUGCUGUGUUCCUCCCUGCAAUAUCAACCCAGAAUAAGAACAGAUGUUAAACCCACAGAAGUUUCAUUUCAAGAGAGGAAGAGAUCUGUACAGGCAGGUCUCUUCAGUACUUGUGCUGUCUAUCAGCAGAAAUAAUAUCAUACAGAAAAGAUGAAAUAGGUUUUAGUGGAUCUCGGAUAAAAGCUAGUUGAACAAUUCCACAGUUCCUGGGCAAGAUAAGCUUCCAGUUUUGUGCACUGUCAUAGCGAAAAUCGACAGGGGCAUUAACUCAUUGUAAAAUUACUACAGAAAUUUGGAGAGAUACCUCUCAAGAGCAUUGGUACAUUUUGCUUACCAUGGGUCAUCAUUUGGCUCCCAGCCCACCAGUUCUAACAAGCAAAAGAAACAUUUUGCCACAUCUGGUUCAUUUGCAGUUGGACAGUGGAUGAAGCCAGCCUUUGCCAUCUGCAGGGGACAGUUUACAAGUUUAGAGCAUUAUCCCACACACACUACUCAUAUUUACUCAUACAUCCUGGCACUUUAGAAUCACAGCUAGUCAAGAUACCAAAAAUUAAGUUUGUUUCAGUAACCAAACAUCUCUUCAGGCAACUCUAGCAGUAUGACUCAUCUGAGAUUCAGGCUGGCAGUGUCAUGUGUGUGCCAAAGUAGAAGUCAGGUGGAUUUUUUAUUUAAAUAAUUCCCAUUUCUGAAUUUGAAGUAGUGAUCAUUCCACUAUAUCCUUCCUGCUGGAUCUGUACUUGUUUAAUGGAGGCUGCUUUCUCAUGAACAGAAAUUUGCAAUUAGAAAGACUAUGUAAUACAAGAAAUUAAUUUUUAAAUGACAAGAACAGAAAAAAAAAAAAAGGAACAAGAACAGUAAAUAUUAGAAUCUGUAGGCAGACUGUGGACUGAACACAGAAAAACCAGAAAAUCCCACUACAGUAUUUCUGAGCAGGGAACAGAGGAAAGCUGAGUAUUUAACUCAUCUUCAGGCUUAGUGGACUCCUCUUGAACCUGAAUACACUCAAUAAUGACUUCACAUUCAGGCAUGGCAUAUAUAAAUUAAGGCAGAGGCAAACCAACCAUUUUCAGACUUACAUUCUCUGGAGUGCACUUGCAGUUUUCCUGGAAGGGCCACUUGGUGAAGGUUUUUAAACGGGUCUCAUACUCAUACAUCUCCUUAAGGUCAGUUAAGAGCUUGGAAGCUGAGCUGAGCUCUUGCAGCAGAGUCUCCAUCUCUGAAGCCUGCAAUCAGUGAAAGGCAGAGCUUCCCUCCUACUCUCCCUUUUAAGGCCUUUGCUAAUUGGUGACACCUGGAGAGCAGGGGAAGGUCUAACAGAGCCUUAGUCCCUUCCUAACACAGGUGAGUUUAUGGGCAGGACAACCAAGGGAAAUGAAGCUGCUGGAAUUUCUUCCCCUUGUGUCACAGUCUCUGUCCUUGGUCACGUUAUAUAUUUUUUAACUGAAAGCACCUAUUACCAUUGCAGAUUUUACAUCUGAAAUGUCAAAACCUGCAAGUUUAAAACUCUAGUUACAAAUGCAGAAACUUUGCAUAUAAAGUUUAAAAGAAUACUAUCCUGAUUGCAAGGAAAUGGGUUGAAUUGACAUUGCUGUUUGAAUCCUUCAGUGUUUCUUGAAUUUCACAUUCAGAGAUUAAUUCUUAGGAUUGUCUUUGCAAAUAGUGUUGCAUUUCUUUAAAGAGGAGGUGGUUGUUUUAUAAUAUUGUAAGUACUCAGUUCUAUUUUAACAUAUUAUAGAGCAUAGCCAGAUGCUGGAUUAAAUAUUUUAAAGGUGUAUAAGCCAGAUGCUGGGUUAAAUAUUUUAAAGGUGUAUAUCUGCAAGGGUUUACAGUAUCAAAGCAUUAAGUUGUCAUUUUAUAAACUGUCUCUUAUUUUGGUAAAGAAUCCAGUUGAAUUCAGUAGAAGUUUAAACAUCAGUGUCUUCAAGAAUGCUGCAUGCAGCAGCUUUCUAAGCCAAAAUCUUAGCACCUCUGAAGGAUUUUGCAUUGUGAGACUUGAAAAUUUAAAUCUCUGAAAUACAGAUGGAGUAAGUGCAGAAAAUAAUCCAGCCCAUUAUUCUGUCUAGAUGUGGUGACAGAAAUGAGAUUAAAGAACAUUUGUAUAGGACUUCCAAUGUCAGCCCUUGGGGCAUUGCUUUUGCCUAGAUUUACAAAUGCCACAUCAUUGAAUCCUCUGGGACUGUAUGUCUAUUGUAUAUUCAGGAAUACUGUCCUUGAAAUUUAUAUUCAGAUAUUUAGAGUAACAUGUGUUACAUGAAAAUAGGAUACUUUAAUUUUUUUUUUUCCAGAUGAUACCAAUGGUGCAGGAAUUUAUCAUUCAUAACCUGGGCCCUCCAAGCACUGAUAUUAAUAGUUUCUCCUGGUGAUGACUCCACGGCAGCUGAUGAUCAGAUAUUUUAAUCUCUUUUUUACUGUAGUUGAAGUUUGUGUGUGUAUGUGUGUGCACAUGUGAGUGUAUUUGUAUGAAGCAAGGAACUUUGUUUAACUAAAAAUUGAAAUGCCAAACCAAACCCAAAACCUGUUUUUAACUGCCCAAAACCAGUAAAAUUGAUCUCAUGCUUCUCUUUAAAACAAGGCACUAAUUCAUGCAUGUGGAUUGUUUUCAGGAAUGAAUAAUUUGUCUGUUGUUUAAAAGAAACUGUAGAUUAAAUAUUUUGGCAUAUUUUAUCAUCUUGGGAUGUCAUGAUCUAUUUAACUAAUUAAUUUGUGUCAUUUCAAAUGGAAAAUGCAAAAAUGGAACAAACCCACAAUAGUUUAAAUGCUUCUUGUAAGCAGUCUGAUCUGAAAAUGCUAUUUUUUCAAAAAUGCUUUAUGUGUAAUAUAUAAUUUAAUCAAAAACACCACAGUAAUAUGGGACCUUGGAGUCCUGGGUGAUAUUUAUGCAUCAGAAUUGAAAUACAGUGCUUUGUGGUUUUUGUUUGGUUUUUUUUUUUUGCUUUGAUUGUUUUUAUGGCAUUUAAAACAAACAAAAAAUUCCCAACAGCCCAAAUCUGUUCUUAUGUAGAAAAGUACUGCUAGAAUACUAGAAAGUAAGAUUAUACAUGCAAUGACACAUCCUAAGAUGUAUUUCUUGCAUUUCCUGCCUAUAAUUCUGUCAGAAUUCUGUGCUGUUGAGAAUGACAGGUACAUUUCAAGUCUAUCUGUAAAGGUAUCCUUUUUUUUGGGAUAUAAAAUUUUAUAGUAGGUUGUCUACAUCCUUCAAGAGAAUACUGUUUGCAGUGUUCUGAAACUGUCAGAAUUUCAUAGGUCCAGAUUAAAUGGAUGGGUAGAUGGAGCUUUUCACUGGAAGACACACAAGAUGUGGCAUGACAUGAAAGAAAAGAUUUAAAUCAUAUUUUAAACGAUUAAAUCAGGUACAUUAAAUACCUGAUAUCUGAUCCUGACUUCUACAGUAAGGGCAGAAAACCUGUGAGUAAUGUUGCAACUUUGUAAAUCAGUUAAAGUCCACCCUGAUGAACGUGUAUAGGUGAUCUGGGGGAAGACAGGUUCAGAAAUGAAAUACUUGUCUUCCACUGCAAGGAAAGUAGUUUCAAUUACUGGCAAUAGUGCAGUACAUUUAUUUUUUAUUUUCUUGCUUGUUUCAUACUUCAUCAAUUGAAACUUGUUGCUAUGGCAAUAAUAAGACAGCUCUCUUGGUGGUUUUGGGUUUUGUUUUUUUUUUACAUAGGUAAGACUGGGAAAACCUAUCCACUGUUUUAAUAAUUGGAUGUGUGCUUGCAAUCACAUUUUACAUUAUUUUGCAUUAUUUUUCUAUAAUUAAUAUAGAUUAUCUAAAUGAGAUUGUGUAUUUAGCUAGGUGGUCUCAAUUGGAAACCAAAUCAAACAUUUCUACCUGUUGUCUUGGUAAGGAUUAAAAAAACCCUAAAAUAUUAUAUGAACAAUAUUUUAUAACACAGUGGUGUUAUAAAUGUAUAGGUGCAUGGUCUCAUACAUACAGUUGUAUGUAAUGUAUAUGAAUUAAAUCUACAUGAAUUAAUAGUUUUAAAAAAUAAAACUACUUUGAGGUUUUAAGAGACUCUGGAAAUGAUGCUCGUGACCAUUUAAAGACCUCCUGCUGAAGGCCUUUGUUUGUCAAGAAGAGGCUUCCCCCGACUCACAAGGUGUGUGAGCAGGAAGAAUCUGGGCUCUGAGCAGCUCAGCUCUGCUGUGCAGGACAGGAGAGAAAAAUGAACUGUUCCUGCACGGUGUAAAAUACCCUACUGCCUAAAAUACCCCUGCUGGCUGCCUGUGAUUUAUUCAUGGCAGGACAAGAGCAGCCCCUGGCAGAGCGAAAGCAGCCGGCAUGCAGAGAGGAGCUCUGGCAGAGGGCGUUUCCUUCCCUGUGUGCAGAGGUGGGCGCUUGCCAGAGCAGCCUCUCGGGAAUUUGCCAGCAAUACAUGGCACUUCUUCAUGCUCCAGCUUGCCAAGCAGCCCAGCAUGGCCAAAGUCUGUUCAAGGAGCUGCCAGCUGAUGCUCCUCACUGUGACUGGGGAAUGCAAUUAUGGUGCCAGAGGCACUGACACUGGGGUUGGCUCUGUAAGUGUUCUCAAGAUGUUAUUUUCCUCAGAAAUCAUUACAAACGUCAAUUAGGUACUUGAUCCAAGUGGUGUUUAUUUUGCCCCUCCUGAAGGAGAUGUAUGUCAGAACAACAGAAUUACCAACAGCUUUUUUUUUUUUAAUAGAUGCAUCUUUACUGAAACUGAUGUGUAUCAGUGUUUACUCAGUCACUGCUUUGGUGGCAGUGACUUCUAAGAAAGGGACAUUAUGUAAACACCACCCAAUUACUGUCAUCUGAAUUGACUCUGUGUGAGUCAGCACUCAGGGGACAGCAAGUGAGAAACACAGCCCAGUGAAGUUAAAGCAUUUUAAAGUAGGCAUAAGAGAAGUAGUUCAUUAUAUUUCCUGGAGGCAGAAAGGCCACAAUAAUCAGCUUAAUUUAUCACACAGGAGUUGUCUCAGUCAUCAGCAAAACACCUGCAGGCACUUGGCAGGCAGUGGGCUUGGAGAGAGGCUGCAGCCCCUUACACUUGGUAUCUCAUUUUAACUGAAUUUUCAUCAGCUCCCAGAAUUUUUCAGGAACUACAUCUUUGUAUCUUUUAUCUUAGUUAACACACUUUAUUAAUCACUAGGAAAUUCUGUAGUGGUUUUGAAGUACACCUUGUGGCCUCUUAUGGGCUGGUUG